UUUGAUCAUGGCUCAGAUUGAACGCUGGCGGCAGGCCUAACACAUGCAAGUCGAGCGGUAACAGAUCUAGCUUGCUAGAUGCUGACGAGCGGCGGACGGGUGAGUAAUGCAUAGGAAUCUGCCCGGUAGUGGGGGAUAACCUGGGGAAACCCAGGCUAAUACCGCAUACGUCUACGGGAGAAAGGGGGCUUCGGCUCCCGCUAUUGGAUGAGCCUAUGUCGGAUUAGCUAGUUGGUGAGGUAAAGGCUCACCAAGGCAACGAUCCGUAGCUGGUCUGAGAGGAUGAUCAGCCACAUCGGGACUGAGACACGGCCCGAACUCUACGGGAGGCAGCAGUGGGGAAUAUUGGACAAUGGGGGCAACCCUGAUCCAGCCAUGCCGCGUGUGUGAAGAAGGCCCUCGGGUUGUAAAGCACUUUCAGCGAGGAAGAACGCCUGGUGGUUAAUACCCGCCAGGAAAGACAUCACUCGCAGAAGAAGCACCGGCUAACUCCGUGCCAGCAGCCGCGGUAAUACGGAGGGUGCAAGCGUUAAUCGGAAUUACUGGGCGUAAAGCGCGCGUAGGUGGCUUGAUAAGCCGGUUGUGAAAGCCCCGGGCUCAACCUGGGAACGGCAUCCGGAACUGUCAGGCUAGAGUGCAGGAGAGGAAGGUAGAAUUCCCGGUGUAGCGGUGAAAUGCGUAGAGAUCGGGAGGAAUACCAGUGGCGAAGGCGGCCUUCUGGACUGACACUGACACUGAG
rnacentral:rRNA from 1 species